UACGUAGGGUGCAAGCGUUAUUCGGAUUCACUGGGCGUAAAGGGUGCGCAGGCGGUUGGGUGUGUCAGAUGUGAAAUCCCGAGGCUUAACCUCGGAACUGCGUCUGAAACUACUCGACUAGAGUACUGGAGAGGGAAACGGAAUUCACGGUGUAGCAGUGAAAUGCGUAGAUAUCGUGAGGAACACCAGAGGCGAAGGCGGCUACCUGGACAAUUGCUGACGCUCAGGCACGAAAGCGUGGGGAGCAAAAGGG
rnacentral:rRNA from 1 species